ensembl:lncRNA
CUGUUCAGAGCCAGUAAGACUGUCGUCCUCCAGCUGCUGUCCCUGGUUCCUGUGAACAGAGACAGAGACACAGUGAGACGGGCGGUGUCCCUGUGUGGAGCCCUGGGUGGAGAACUGGACCUCAGUCACACCACACUGGGUCAGAGGUCCUGUGGAGCUUUGGCUCAGCUGCUGGACGUCUCUGAAGGGCUGACAGAACUGGACCUGAGUCACUGUGAGCUCACUGACCAGCUGCUGCUCUCACUCCUCACACAUCUGCACAAAGUCCAAGUCCUGGAUCUGAGUCACAAUAAGAUCACUGAUGCUUCAGCUGACAUGUUACUUGAACUGGUCUCCAUCAACCCCUCCAUGGACACUGUGCGGUGAGCAUACAUGAAUCAAUGUUCCAUCAUUUAUUCAGACGUUUGUGCUUCAUCCUCUCAGGUUAGUGAAGUUAAUACUGUUCCACAUGUUACUGUGGCUGAGUGAGUGAUGUUUCUCUGCUCUGGUCUUUUUCUAGACUCUUCAGGAACAACAUUAAGGACACAACUCCUUUUAAGAAACACAAGCAGUUUGAAAUCUGGUGAAUCAGCCGUCAGUGUGGUGGUGAUGUGCUGAUCAGGGAAUCAUUGAUGUCUAAUGAUCGCUAGUUGAUGAUGUGUUACUGUUUUGGUGGUGGAUAGUUUAUAUUAUGGUACCAUCAUGUUCCACACGGUGAUCUCUGCUUCACAGAUGAGAACAUCAUGACUCUCGCUCUUUUUUAUAGAUUGAUUCAGACGGCAGCUUGUCUGGAGGCCGACAGCAGCCAGCAGUGUUUACAGUCAUUAUCUGGAGAUGAUGACUCUUCUCUUGUUCAUCAGUUACUGUAGAUUCUUCUUUAAUGUCUUCAUAUUUAUGUGAUAACUCAGGUUUCACACAUCAGAUUGUUCUGUUAGGUCCACGAUUACAUUCUGUUUUUAUUGUAACAAAACACAUAGAGGCCAUAACUGUUACUUGGUUUUAUGAGUUGGCCUAAUUUAUCAUUUUGUGUUUUGUUAUAUUAACUUAAUCUAUUUUUAAUUUGUGACAUUAUAUUUGUGUAUUUUGUGAUGAAUGUUGAGUUCAGUGUGGAGAAGAAAGACUCUAUAAUGACGUCUCAGAGUAAUGAUGCAAUAAAGGUGCUUUCAGGAUCAAAUCAUGUUCGGUACAUCGAGAUAACAGUAAAUUAUCUCAAGAAAAUCAUCUUCAGAAUGUAAAUAUGAGUUUUGUUUUUAUUUCACAUUUUAAAUUAAGUGAUGCUGAGUUACUGUUCCAGAGAGAGACCCGGUUGUAGGAACCCAGCCCAUGCUGUUCUUCUCGCAGGAGGCCCGGCUGUGGGUCUGCGUGACCCCCCCCCCCUCCUCGUGAAUCUUUGGUGUCCUUUAUCAUGAGGGUCUGCUUCCCCUUUUCUAAUUCUCUCCCCUCUCAACCUCAUGACAAGAUCAUCUCUUAUAUUAUAAACUGUGACUUUACAACAAAAGCCUAUCUGGGGACUAACUAUCCCUUCACCCAAUUUCCGGUUAGAAGGACAAGAGCCAUACGUCAAAGAUAGCCACCAGCAUCUGACUGUCCCAUGUCACCGUGAAAUCAAGGAUCGUAAAAGAAAGCCAUAAACAUUUCCAUACCAGCAGAAGUGAAAAGAGUCCUGAUCUCUUUCCUAAUCCAAGAAAGAUACCAAGCUAUAGUCUAACCUUUGCCUUAAUGAUAUAUUUUUCAACAGCUGGACCAGACCUACGUUUUGAUAUGUUUAUUAUCUUCCUGAUGUAAUCCUAAACCAAGUUAUAAGUUUCUGUAUUAAUACCUGAAUAAGUGAUGGAGCCACAGUGCCACCUUGUGGUAAGCUUCGGUAUAGUUGCCAGAGGACUUUCUUAAGUAAUGUAAUCCAUAAUCUUGGUUAUCUAUACUCUUCUCUUACCUCUGAUAUAUGUUUUGAAUGUAUAAGUCAGCACUGUAUGAACAGGUUUGAGCCAUCAAUGCUGGCGGAGGUUAUGAAUCCGUGUGUUUCAUGUAUUAUAACUGAUUAUUCCUUCUUCCUAUUAAGCAAUUUCGUUUAUUUGCUUUUAUUCAUGUAACCAAAAGUUUUACGUGAAAACCAUGGUGGAUUUAGGUGAACAGUCAACCGCGAUCUUAAAACUUUCAGAAGGAUAGUUUAAUUCAGCAAUAAUUGAUAAGUCCGCGAUUAGAUCUGUGACAUCACCGGAGGAAGCGACUGGCCAAGCCGCUCCUCGGACCCGCCUACUACUAAGCCUUAAAAGACUAAUUUUUGCUCUUACAAAUUUUUCUCUUGCACUUUUGUUUCCCUUGCUUUCUCGUUUUUACGAUCGUAUUUUUCUCUUGUUUUCUUACUUCUAUACUUUUUGCUACGUCGCGUAACUCUUUUAUUUUUUUCAACAUUUGACUCCGUGCCUUGCUUAGUUUUUGCAACCUGCUCUGAAGAAUCUGAAACACUCGUUGCAAAUUCUUGAUGAUUUUCGCUUCUGAGAAAACUUUUAUUUUGGAAAACGUAGGCAAAUGCGAAAUAACUUUCUUUCGCCUUUUAUAUAUUAAUAAAGUAUCGUAUUCAAAUUCAGAAGAAGCCAUUUUUGUCUAUUCUUGUAUUUAGUAACUAAGGACGAUUCGCCGGCAAACGUUUCAUCCUUCAGUUAUUUUUAAACAAGAAAUCCGUUAAUAAGUCAAAGCUAAAUCUUCACCACUCCAAAGAGACUCUGACCAAGACGCUGAUCACGCAUCAAAAGUCCGGUACAGAAAUCGAACUGUUCAUGAAGCCGGAACAGCACAUCCAGCGGACCAGAGAAUUCGUAAUCCAGCCGAGCCUGACAACCCGACACGCGCUCAAACGGAAUCCCGUUGGGCAGGAGAGUGACGUCACGGGGAAUCCCAUCGUCAUCGGCCUGCGGCCAAACAGCUGUUGCAUCUACAGUUGAGACGAGAGAGGAUCAGAGGAAAACCCGCAGACGUCCCCCUCUACAAACAAUAGGCUGAAAUCUCUGCACACAGCUGGAGUCACAAAGAUCAGAGUUGGUGUCUAUAAAGCUUUGACUUUUACUAGAAAGAAAACUAGAACAUUUCCCAUAUCGUACCGUUAGGAGAGGAAUUACUCCCGUGAUUUUGUGAAUGAACGGAGUGUUACACUCAAAUCCACCAUCGUUUCGAAGUCCGUUGUUCAAUAAUUUACUCCCACAAUCUUCACCUUUUCUGUUAUUUGUCAUUAUUCGUUUGAAUUAUUACCUUAUAUCAUUUACUCUGCAUUUAUUUAGUCAAUAAACAUAUUUAACCUUAUGUCGUUGUCUGUGCACAUUUAAUUUGAAGUGGAAAAUGGAAGUCCCUGCUUCAGAAUAAGAGACUGAUUAAAAUGCUUUCAACUGUUUAAGCC